GGGACAAAGGACAACCAUAAAUCUCUAAACACAGCUAGGUGGACCAGGCGGAUUUUUUCGGUCGCUCACCAGUCACCUAGCUGUGUUUGGAGAUUUAUGUUUGUCCUUUGUUCCU
rnacentral:pre_miRNA from 1 species